ensembl:ncRNA C30D11.6 ncRNA
AUGUAGUGCGGCAAGAAACCCGGUAGAUGUCGUGCCAUGCUUAUCAGUCGAAGCUCCAAAUUUUUAGAUUUUCACAGAAAAUUUCCCUGUAGUUUGAAGAAUCAGAAUUCCAGAGAUGUUUCUAGACUUUAUUAAUUCCUUAUCCAACUCCUUAUCAUCCUUAUCCUCAAC